UACGGGGGGAGCAAGCGUUGUUCGGAUUUACUGGGCGUAAAGGGCGCGUAGGCGGCGCAAUAAGUCACUUGUGAAAUCUCCGGGCUUAACCCGGAGCGGCCAAGUGAUACUGUCGUGCUAGAGUGCGGAAGGGGCUACUGGAAUUCUCGGUGUAGCGGUGAAAUGCGUAGAUAUCGAGAGGAACACCUGCGGCGAAGGCGGGUAGCUGGGCCGACACUGACGCUGAGGCGCGAAAGCCAGGGGAGCGAACGGG
rnacentral:rRNA from 1 species